rnacentral:lncRNA from 1 species
GGGAGACAGGAAGGGAAGAGAAUAAGAAUUAAAAAUAAAUGUAGCAGGCUGGAGUGCAGUGGCAUGAUUUCAACUCACUGCAACCUCAGCUUCCUCAGUUCAAUUCAAGUGAUUCUCUGGCUUCAGCCUCCCAAGUGUCUGGGACUACAGGAGUGCACCACCAGGCCUGGCUGUUUUUUGUAUUUUUGGUAGAGAUGGGGUUUCACUAUGUUGGCUAGGCUGGUCUUGAACUCCUGACCUCAGGUGAUCUGCCUGCUUCAGCCUCCCAGUGUGCUGGGAUUACAGGAGUGAGCCACCACAUGCAGCCUGUUACAUUUUUUUCUUUCUUUUUAAUUGCUAUUUUUCUUCUGUUACUUCUUUAAAUGGAUUUUUUUUUUUUUUUUGCAUAUAGGACAGCUAUUGAUAUUUGGAUCUUGGCAACCAAACACCUCGCUAACUUCUCUAAUCUUUUCUAACAAUUUUCAUUUGCUAUCUCUACGUUUUCCAGGGUGGACUUUUGCCUUGCCUUUGUUAGAAGAAUUCAUUGAAAAUGACUGUUUCAAAUCUGGGCCUCCCGAGACGUUGCACUUUCACUUUCCUGAUAUCUCCUUCCUUUGCCAUGAGAACAAACUUGGGCAGUCUGUUAUCCUUGAACUAGGCUGAGUUAUCCCAGCUGUGCUGGGUGCCAGAUGAGUCACCAGCUGAUUGAAGACACUUGAGCAUGUUCCAUCAAGCUCAGCUAAAUCUAUUGAGAUGAGCAGGACUACCCAGCUGACCCAGAGACUCAUGAAGAAAUCUUAAAUAGUUCCUGUUUAAAGCUACUAGAUUUGGUGAUGGUUUAUUACACA